rnacentral:lncRNA from 1 species
AACUAUUGAAGAAACUCACCCAAACCUAUAUAGUUGAUUUCAGGUUCAAACUUUGGAGAACAUUCUUGUAUCAGCAAUAGGUGAAAAUGGAUUCAGCACUACACUUGUGAUUCAUUGGUAGGUUCGUCUUCAAAUACCACCCAUACCUUGCUUAUUUUAGUCUCUAGUGUCCAUGAAAAAUGAGUAGUAGGUGGUGACAAAUUUAUCUCAAUUUUCUCUUCCUUCUUUUCCCUUUCUGGUAAUGAUCCUUUGAAUUGGUUUGAAAUCUGAGGUGGGUUUGAGAUGCCCAUUCUUCUUGAUAAAGAGACAUGUGAUUGUGAAGCCAAAGGUUGAAUUUUUGGACUACCAUAUUGAUCCAAUGCAAUUAUAUGAUCCAUGCUGAUUAAUUGGACAAACGGAUAUUCCAAACUUUUGUUUCUAACAAUUUUCUUGCAACUUGCAUACAGAUCAUGGAGCCUUUGGCUCUGCAAUGAAGCUUUCUUGAGAAUCUCACAUGCUAGGCCUCUUGCCGAUGGUGUUAGAUCAAAGAGCAUGUUGUCAAGUGCUGCGAUCCCCUCAGAGAAUGUCACAUAAACUUGGAAGCUUUCCCUCAAG